rnacentral:rRNA from 1 species
AGAGUUUGAUCCUGGCUCAGGAUAAACGCUGGCGGCGUGCCUAAUACAUGCAAGUCGAACGGAGAGAGACAAGCUUGCUUGUCGAACUUAGUGGCGAACGGGUGAGUAAUACAUAAGCAACCUGCCCAUAAAGUCCGGGAUAACUUUGGGAAACUGGAAUUAAUACCGGAUAGGUAACGGAGACGCAUGUUUCUGUUAUUAAAGGUGAGAAACGCUAAUGGAUGGGCUUAUGGCGCAUUAGCUUGUUGGUAAGGUAACGGCUUACCAAGGCGAUGAUGCGUAGCCGGCCUGAGAGGGUGAACGGCCACAUUGGGACUGAGACACGGCCCAGACUCCUACGGGAGGCAGCAGUAGGGAAUUUUCGGCAAUGGGCGAAAGCCUGACCGAGCAACGCCGCGUGAGUGCUAAGGAUUUCGGUCUGUAAAGCUCUGUUGUAAGGGAAGAAUUGAUCAGAGAGGAUCUGAUAGUGACGGUACCUUACCAGAAAGCCACGGCUAACUACGUGCCAGCAGCCGCGGUAAUACGUAGGUGGCGAGCGUUAUCCGGAAUUAUUGGGCGUAAAGGGUGCGUAGGCGGCACAAUAAGUUUAAGGUGAAAGCGUGGGGCUCAACCCCAUAAAGCCUUAGAUACUGUUGAGCUAGAGUACUGGAGAGGGAAGUGGAAUUCCAUGUGUAGCGGUAAAAUGCGUAGAUAUAUGGAGGAACACCAGAGGCGAAGGCGGCUUCCUAGCCAGAGACUGACGCUGAGGCACGAAAGCGUGGGGAGCAAAUAGGAUUAGAUACCCUAGUAGUCCACGCCGUAAACGAUGAAUACUAAGUUUUGGGGGAACUCAGAGCUGCAGUUAACGCAAUAAGUAUUCCGCCUGUGGAGUAUGCACGCAGUGUGAAACAUAAAGGAAUUGACGGGGGCC